rnacentral:rRNA from 1 species
GAUGAACGCUAGCGGCAGGCUUAACACAUGCAAGUCGAGGGGUAACAGAAGUAGCUUGCUAUUUGCUGACGACCGGCGCACGGGUGCGUAACGCGUAUACAAUCUACCUUUUACAGAGGAAUAGCCCAGAGAAAUUUGGAUUAAUACCUCAUAGUAUUAUAAAGUGGCAUCAUUUAAUAAUUAAAACUUCGGUGGUAAAAGAUGAGUAUGCGUUCUAUUAGCUAGAUGGUAAGGUAACGGCUUACCAUGGCAACGAUAGAUAGGGGUCCUGAGAGGGAGAUCCCCCACACUGGUACUGAGACACGGACCAGACUCCUACGGGAGGCAGCAGUGAGGAAUAUUGGACAAUGGAGGUAACUCUGAUCCAGCCAUGCCGCGUGCAGGAAGACGGCCCUAUGGGUUGUAAACUGCUUUUAUAUAGGAAGAAACCGUUCCACGUGUGGAACUCUGACGGUACUAUAUGAAUAAGCACCGGCUAACUCCGUGCCAGCAGCCGCGGUAAUACGGAGGGUGCAAGCGUUAUCCGGAAUCAUUGGGUUUAAAGGGUCCGUAGGCGGGCUAAUAAGUCAGGGGUGAAAUACCACAGCUCAACUGUGGAACUGCCUUUGAUACUGUUAGUCUUGAAUUAUAUGGAAGUAGAUAGAAUGUGUAGUGUAGCGGUGAAAUGCUUAGAGAUUACACAGAAUACCGAUUGCGAAGGCAGUCUACUACGUAUAU